UACGUAGGGUGCGAGCGUUGCCCGGAUUUAUUGGGCGUAAAGGGCGCGUAGGCGGCCUUCUAAGUCGAACGUGAAAUCCCCGGGCUCAACCCGGGAACUGCGUCCGAUACUGGAAGGCUUGAAUCCGGGAGAGGGAUGCGGAAUUCCAGGUGUAGCGGUGAAAUGCGUAGAUAUCUGGAGGAACACCGGUGGCGAAGGCGGCAUCCUGGACCGGCAUUGACGCUGAGGCGCGAAAGCCAGGGGAGCAAACGGG
rnacentral:rRNA from 1 species